rnacentral:rRNA from 1 species
AUGCUGCGGGCUGGCGUCAAGUUCGAUCCCACGGAUCAGGAGCUGAUUGAUCACCUUGAGGCCAAAGUGAGUGUUGACAGUGCGAUAUCUCACCCUCUCAUCGAGUUGUUCAUACCAACCAUCGACAGCGAGCACGGCAUAUGCUACACCCAUCCUGAGAAACUUCCAGGGCAUUCAAAUGGGGCACGUGGACGCGUCGCAAGAUAUGCGAUGUGGCACAACACCGGCAAUACCUUGCCGGUGAUAGUCAACGGCCGGCAGACCGGCAGCAAAAAGGUUCUGGUGCUCCACACCAACAAGAACUUCGACCAGCAGAGGACCAACUGGGUGAUGCACCAGUACCACCUUGGGGACCUGGAGCAAGAGAAGGAGCGGGAGCUGGUCCUCUGCAAGAUUUUAUACCAGACAAACACUAGGGCCAGGAGUAAAAAGAUUAUAACUUAG